rnacentral:rRNA from 1 species
GACGAACGCUGGCGGCGUGCUUAACACAUGCAAGUCGAACGAAGUGGCGAACGGGUGAGUAACGCGUAAUCAACCUGCCCUUCAGAGGGGGACAACAGUUGGAAACGACUGCUAAUACCGCAUACUGAAGGAGGGGAGUGCGUCUGAUUAGCUAGUUGGAGGGGUAACGGCCCACCAGGGCGAUGAUCAGGAGACGGUCUGAGAGGAUGACGGGCCACAUUGGGACUGAGAACCGGCCCAGAAGCCGUCGGGAGGCAGCCGUGGGGAAUCUUCCGCAAUGGACGAAAGUCUGACGGAGCAACGCCGCGUGAGUGAUGACGGCCUUCGGGUUGUAAAGGUCUGUUAGUCGGGACGCGGUACCGAAAUAGAAAGCCACGGCUAACUACGUGCCAGCAGCCGCGGUAAUAC